GGCCUUAUGGUCUAGUAGUAUGAUUCCUCGUUUGGGUAACCAAAUCUCGAGGAGGUCCUGGGUUCAACUCCCAGUGAGGCCC